rnacentral:rRNA from 1 species
UGGGGAAUUUUGGACAAUGGGCGAAAGCCUGAUCCAGCAAUGCCGCGUGUGUGAAGAAGGCCUUCGGGUUGUAAAGCACUUUUGUCCGGAAAGAAAUCCUUGGCUCUAAUACAGUCGGGGGAUGACGGUACCGGAAGAAUAAGCACCGGCUAACUACGUGCCAGCAGCCGCGGUAAUACGUAGGGUGCAAGCGUUAAUCGGAAUUACUGGGCGUAAAGCGUGCGCAGGCGGUUUGCUAAGACCGAUGUGAAAUCCCCGGGCUCAACCUGGGAACUGCAUUGGUGACUGGCAGGCUAGAGUAUGGCAGAGGGGGGUAGAAUUCCACGUGUAGCAGUGAAAUGCGUAGAGAUGUGGAGGAAUACCGAUGGCGAAGGCAGCCCCCUGGGCCAAUACUGACGCUCAUGCACGAAAGCGUGGGGAGCAAACAGGAUUAGAUACCCUGGUAGUCCCACGCCCUAAACGAUGUCAACUAGUUGUUGGGGAUUCAUUUCCUUAGUAACGUAGCUAACGCGUGAAGUUGACCGCCUGGGGAGUACGGUCGCAAGAUUCAAAACUCAAA